rnacentral:rRNA from 1 species
CCUACGGGGGGCAGCAGUGAGGAAUAUUGGUCAAUGGACGAGAGUCUGAACCAGCCAAGUAGCGUGAAGGAUGACUGCCCUAUGGGUUGUAAACUUCUUUUAUAUGGGAAUAAAACGUUCCACGUGUGGGAUUUUGUAUGUACCAUAUGAAUAAGGAUCGGAUAACUCCGUGCCAGCAGCCGCGGUAAUACGGAGGAUCCGAGCGUUAUCCGGAUUUAUUGGGUUUAAAGGGAGCGUAGGUGGAUUGUUAAGUCAGUUGUGAAAGUUUGCGGCUCAACCGUAAAAUUGCAGUUGAAACUGGCAGUCUUGAGUACAGUAGAGGUGGGCGGAAUUCGUGGUGUAGCGGUGAAAUGCUUAGAUAUCACGAAGAACUCCGAUUGCGAAGGCAGUUCACUGGACUGCAACUGACACUGAGGCUCGAAAGUGUGGGUAUCAAACAGGAUUAGAUACCCCUGUAGUC